AAAGUACUCCCUCUGUCCCAAAAUUCUUGUCUUAGAUUUGUCUAGAUACGGAUGUAUCAAGUCACAUUUUAGUAUUAGAUACAUCCAUAUCUAGACAAAUCUAAGACAAGAAAUUUGGGACAGAGGGAGUAGUUG
rnacentral:pre_miRNA from 1 species